GGAAAAACGUAUUUAUCCCGAGUCUUAUACACCGAAAGGUGUUUGUUGUUUAUACAAAUUACAUGUACAGAUGAUACAUACAGUGACAGACUGGUACAGUUUACCUUUUAAUUGUUGACUUCAAGCAAUUCGGUCAAUUUAAUAGAAAUAUGUGAUAAAUUUGUUGCAGGAGCUUUUUACUGUAAAGAACUACAUGUAUAUUUAAUGAUUAAUUUAUUAUACCUUAUGUACUAAUAUCUCAAUGUCAAUAACAAAGCUGAAUUAUUUAUUUACAUCUAUCUUGUUUGUGUACAUCUUUUAAACUUUAUUGUGUCCAUUAUUUUUGGAGCGUUUUGACUUCUAUAUAUAGAUUACAGUCUGUUUUAUAGUGUUUUGACCAUGCAAACCAAAUAAACAUAAACAGU
rnacentral:misc_RNA from 1 species